rnacentral:rRNA from 1 species
CUACGUGCCAGCAGCCGCGGUAAUACGUAGGGCGCGAGCGUUGUCCGGAAUUAUUGGGCGUAAAGAGCUUGUAGGCGGUUUGUCGCGUCUGCUGUGAAAGGCCGGAGCUUAACUCCGUGUAUUGCAGUGGGUACGGGCAGACUAGAGUGCAGUAGGGGAGACUGGAAUUCCUGGUGUAGCGGUGGAAUGCGCAGAUAUCAGGAGGAACACCGAUGGCGAAGGCAGGUCUCUGGGCUGUAACUGACGCUGAGAAGCGAAAGCAUGGGGAGCGAACAGGAUUAGAUACCCUGGUAGUCCAUGCCGUAAACGUUGGGCACUAGGUGUGGGGGACAUUCCACGUUUUCCGCGCCGUAGCUAGCGCAUUAAGUGCCCCGCCUGGGGAGUACGGCCGCAAGGCUAAAACUCAAAGAAAUUGACGGGGGCCCGCACAAGCGGCGGAGCAUGCGGAUUAAUUCGAUGCAACGCGAAGAACCUUACCAAGGCU